GUCAACGUGGCCGAGUGGUCUAAGGCGCUGUGUUCAGGUCACAGUCUGAAAGGGCACGAGUUCGAAUCUCGUCGUUGACA